UACGGAGGGUGCUAGCGUUGUUCGGAAUGACUGGGCGUAAAGGGCGCGUAGGCGGCUCGUGAAGUCGGGUGUGAAAGCCCGGGGCUCAACCCCGGAACGGCAUCCGAUACUGGCGGGCUUGAGACCGGGAGAGGAGGGUGGAAUACCCAGUGUAGAGGUGAAAUUCGUAGAUAUUGGGUGGAACACCGGUGGCGAAAGCGGCUCUCUGGCCCGGAUCUGACGCUGAGGCGCGAAAGCGUGGGGAGCAAACAGG
rnacentral:rRNA from 1 species